AUUGAACGCUGGCGGCAGGCCUAACACAUGCAAGUCGGACGGUAGCACAGAGGAGCUUGCUCCUCGGGUGACGAGUGGCGGACGGGUGAGUAAUGUCUGGGGAUCUGCCCGAUAGAGGGGGAUAACCACUGGAAACGGUGGCUAAUACCGCAUAACGUCGCAAGACCAAAGAGGGGGACCUUCGGGCCUCUCACUAUCGGAUGAACCCAGAUGGGGUUAGGUAGUAGGCGGGGUAACGGCCCACCUAGGCGACGAUCCCUAGCUGGUCUGAGAAGAUGACCAGCCACACUGGAACUGAGACACGGUCCAGACUCCUACGGGAGGCAGCAGUGGGGAAUAUUGCACAAUGGGCGCAGGCCUGAUGCAGCCAUGCCGCGUGUAUGAAGAAGGCCUUCGGGUUGUAAAGUACUUUCAGCGGGGAGGAAGGCGAUAAGGUUAAUAACCUUGUCGAUUGACGUUACCCGCAGAAGAAGCACCGGCUAACUCCGUGCCAGCCGCCGCGGUAA
rnacentral:rRNA from 1 species